GAUCAUGGCUCAGAUUGAACGCUGGCGGCAUGCUUUACACAUGCAAGUCGAACGGCAGCGCGGGCCUCGGCCUGGCGGCGAGUGGCGAACGGGUGAGUAAUGCAUCGGAACGUGCCCAGUAGUGGGGGAUAGCCCGGCGAAAGCCGGAUUAAUACCGCAUACGACCUGAGGGUGAAAGCGGGGGACCGAAAGGCCUCGCGCUAUUGGAGCGGCCGAUGUCGGAUUAGCUAGUUGGUGGGUAAAG
rnacentral:rRNA from 1 species